UACAUGGGGUGCAAACGUUGCUCGGAAUUAUUGGGCGUAAAGCGCGCGUAGGCGGUUACUCAAGUCGGAUGUGAAAGCCCUCGGCUUAACUGAGGAAGUGCACCCGAAACUGAGUAGCUAGAGUACUAAAGAGGGUCGCGGAAUUCCCGGUGUAGCGGUGGAAUGCGUAGAGAUCGGGAAGAACAUCGGUGGCGAAGGCGGUCUGCUGGGCCGUUGCUGACGCUGAGGCGCGACAGCGUGGGGAGCAAACAGG
rnacentral:rRNA from 1 species